GGGCCGGUAGCACAGUCUGGAUAGUGCGGUGGGCUUCGGACUCACAGGUCAGGGGUUCAAAUCCCCUCCGGCUCG
rnacentral:tRNA from 1 species